UACGGGGGGGGCAAGCGUUGUUCGGAAUCACUGGGCGUAAAGGGUGCGUAGGCGGGUCUUUAAGUCAGGGGUGAAAUCCUGGAGCUCAACUCCAGAACUGCCUUUGAUACUGAGGAUCUUGAGUUCGGGAGAGGUGAGUGGAACUGCGAGUGUAGAGGUGAAAUUCGUAGAUAUUCGCAAGACCACCAGUGGCGAAGGCGGCUCACUGGCCCGAUACUGACGCUGAGGCACGAAAGCGUGGGGAGCAAACAGG
rnacentral:rRNA from 1 species